UAGGGAAUCUUCCACAAUGGACGCAAGUCUGAUGGAGCAACGCCGCGUGAGUGAAGAAGGUUUUCGGACCGUAAAGCUCUGUUGUUGGUGAAGAAGGAUAGAGGUAGUAACUGGCCUUUAUUUGACGUGAUAUCAACCAGAAAGUCACGGCUAACUACGUGCCAGCAGCCGCGGUAAUACGUAGGUGGCAAGCGUUGUCCGGAUUUAUUGGGCGUAAAGCGAGCGCAGGCGGAAGAAUAAGUCUGAUGUGAAAGCCCUCGGCUUAACCGAGGAAUUGCAUCGGAAACUGUUUUUCUUGAGUGCAGAAGAGGAGAGUAGAACUCCAUGUGUAGCGGUGGAAUGCGUAGAUAUAUGGAAGAAUACCAGUGGCGAAGGCGGCUCUCUGGUCUGCAACUGACGCUGAGGCUCGAAAGCAUGGGUAGCGAACAGGAUUAGAUACCCUGGUAGUCCAUGCCGUAAACGAUGAGUGCUAAGUGUUGGGAGGCUUCCGCCUCUCAGUGCUGCAGCUAACGCAUUAAGCACUCCGCCUGGGGGAGUACGACCGCAAGGUUGAAAC
rnacentral:rRNA from 1 species